rnacentral:misc_RNA from 1 species
CACUGAUAUAAAUCUUCUAUCAUGGUAUUUAAGAAAUCCUCAUGGAAAAGGUGACAAAAAACAUAAGGAGAAUUAUUCCGAGAAAGCAGUUGAUGCUGUUGAAGUUGAUGCCUAAAUGAUUUAUGCCUGCUUUUGAUAUGGAUUUGUAAUUUAAGUACAAUGUAUAUCUGAUUCGUAUAUUCUUUAUAAAAGCUUGUUUCUCAAACUACUCGUAACCAAUAUCGGUGCUAACAAAAAUUUUAACCGGCCAAUAACUUGCCAUUUAUGACUAGAAAAAAUAAAAGUCACAUAUAUACGUUUUAAUAAAAUUUACGCAUCUUGUAAAAGUAAUGAUAUCAUUUACAUAUCCAAACUUCACUACUAUAGUAAAGGAUUUUCGAAUAUUUUUUAACAGGUUAAUUUAUUGAUGUGAAUAUAAAAAAGAUUUAUUUUGUAUUAUUCGUAGAAUAUUUUGUUUGACAUUAAAAAAUUACA